AACGAACGCUGGCGGCAUGCCUAACACAUGCAAGUCGAACGAGACCUUCGGGUCUAGUGGCGCACGGGUGCGUAACGCGUGGGAACCUGCCCUUAGGCUCGGAAUAACUCCCCGAAAGGGGUGCUAAUACCGGAUAAUGUCCUCGGACCAAAGAUUUAUCGCCUUUGGAUGGGCCCGCGUUGGAUUAGCUAGUGGGUAGGGUAAAAGCCUACCAAGGCGACGAUCCAUAGCUGGUCUGAGAGGAUGAUCAGCCACACUGGGACUGAGACACGGCCCAGACUCCUACGGGAGGCAGCAGUGGGGAAUAUUGGACAAUGGGCGAAAGCCUGAUCCAGCAAUGCCGCGUGAGUGAUGAAGGCCUUAGGGUUGUAAAGCUCUUUUACCCGAGAUGAUAAUGACAGUACCGGGAGAAUAAGCUCCGGCUAACUCCGUG
rnacentral:rRNA from 1 species